GACGAACGCUGGCGGCGUGCUUAACACAUGCAAGUCGAACGGAAAGGCCCUGCUUUUGUGGGGUGCUCGAGUGGCGAACGGGUGAGUAACACGUGUGUAACCUGCCCUUGACUUUGGGAUAACUUCAGGAAACUGGGGCUAAUACCGGAUAGGAGCUCCUGCUGCAUGGUGGGGGUUGGAAAGUUUCGGCGGUUGGGGAUGGACUCGCGGCUUAUCAGCUUGUUGGUGGGGUAGUGGCUUACCAAGGCUUUGAUGGGUAGCCGGCCUGAGGGGGUGACCGGCCACAUUGGGACUGAGAUACGGCCCAGACUCCUACGGGAGGCAGCAGUGGGGAAUAUUGCACAAUGGGCGGAAGCCUGAUGCAGCAACGCCGCGUGCGGGAUGACGGCCUUCGGGUUGUAAACCGCUUUCGCCUGUGACGAAGCGUGAGUGACGGUAAUGGGUAAAGAAGCACCGGCUAACUACGUG
rnacentral:rRNA from 1 species